rnacentral:rRNA from 1 species
GAUGAACGCUAGCUACAGGCUUAACACAUGCAAGUCGAGGGGCAGCAUGACCUAGCAAUAGGUUGAUGGCGACCGGCGCACGGGUGAGUAACACGUAUCCAACCUACCGGUUAUUCUGGGAUAGCCUUUCGAAAGAAAGAUUAAUACCGGAUAGUAUAACGAGAAGGCAUCUUUUUGUUAUUAAAGAAUUUCGAUAAUCGAUGGGGAUGCGUUCCAUUAGUUUGUUGGCGGGGUAACGGCCCACCAAGACAUCGAUGGAUAGGGGUUCUGAGAGGAAGGUCCCCCACAUUGGAACUGAGACACGGUCCAAACUCCUACGGGAGGCAGCAGUGAGGAAUAUUGGUCAAUGGACGAGAGUCUGAACCAGCCAAGUAGCGUGAAGGAUGACUGCCCUAUGGGUUGUAAACUUCUUUUAUAUGGGAAUAAAGUGAGCCA